GAUGAACGCUGGCGGCGUGCCUAAUACAUGCAAGUCGAGCGAACAGACGAGGAGCUUGCUCCUCUGACGUUAGCGGCGGACGGGUGAGUAACACGUGGAUAACCUACCUAUAAGACUAGGAUAACUUCGGGAAACCGGAGCUAAUACCGGAUAAUAUAUUGAACCGCAUGGUUCAAUAGUGAAAGACGGUUUUGCUGGCACUUAUAGAUGGAUCCGCGCCGCAUUAGCUAGUUGGUAAGGUAACGGCUUACCAAGGCAACGAUGCGUAGCCGACCUGAGAGGGUGAUCGGCCACACUGGAACUGAGACACGGUCCAGACUCCUACGGGAGGAAGCAGUAGGGAAUCUUACGCAAUGGGCGAAAGCCUGACGGAGCAACGCCGCGUGAGUGAUGAAGGUCUUCGGAUCGUAAAACUCUGUUAUUAGGGAAGAACAAAUGUGUAAGUAACUAUGCACGUAUUGACGGUACCUAAUCAGAAAGCCACGGCUAACUCCGUG
rnacentral:rRNA from 1 species